GCGCCGGAAGUGGAAGGCCGGGCAGCCCAGCUGAAGGCAAUAAGCUGGGCUCACCGCUGCAGCAGAGUUCUGUGCUAGCCGGGCAUAGGGGCGAGAGAAGGCCCAGAGGCGACGUCAGAGAGAAGCAACUGCGCCCCGGUGAAGAGAAGCUCGCCCAUCACCGGCUGGGAGCCAGCUUUCAGUGAAGAUGGCAGGGCCAGAACUGUUGCUUGACUCCAACAUCUGCCUCUGGGUGGUCCUACCCAUCGUUAUCACUCUUCGUAGACAUGAUCCGCCACUACGUGUCCAUCCUGCUGGAGAGCGACAAGAAGCUCACCCAGGAACAAGUAUCUGACAGGGGACGAGGCACCCACAGUCCCUCUCCCAUAAGCCUGCCAAGAAGAUUGAUGUGGCCCGUGUAACCUUUGACCUGUACAAGCUGAACCCACAGGACUUCAUUGGCUGCCUGAACAUGAAGGCGACUUUUUAUGAUACGUACUCCCUUUCCUAUGAUCUGCACUGCUGUGGGGCCAAACGCAUCAUGAAGAGCUCGAGGCUAAUGGAGUCAAAGCAGCUGUGGUCAGUGAACAGGAAAAGGCAGCCUUUGAUGAGGCUGGGGGGCUGGGGAGGGAAGAUUCCAAACAGCAAAGGAGCUUGAGCCUCAGUAGGGCCUGGCGAUCCUAGUGGGAGAAUGGCCUUUCCUGGAGACCCCCCCGCACAGCCAGGAGCAGCUGUCGUCAAGGUGGGCUGUGUCCCAGCCCCUCCAGCUCAGCCUUUUCAUCUGUUCAGGCUGGUGCUCACGAGUGCACAGGACGCCUUUCAGAAGGAGGAUUCUAAAUCCCGGGGGUCUGUAAUGGCACAGCCACAUGUCUGAGCCCAAAACAAGAGAACCACAUGUGUUUUUGCCACACUUCUUGCCAGUGCUGUCCAUAUUUGUGUACAUAAUUUUUUGUUUCUUUUCUUUGAGACAGAGUCUCACUCUUGUCACCCAGGCUGGAGUGCAGUGGCACGAUCUCAGCUCACUGCAACCUCUGCCUGCUGGGUUCAAGCAAUUCUUCUGCCUCAGCCUCCCAAGUAGCUGGGAUUACAGGCACCCACCACCACGCCCAGGUAAUUUUUAUAUUUUUCAUAGAGAUGGGGUUUCGCCAUAUUGGCCAGGCUGGUCUCAAACUCCUGACCUCAGGUGAUCCACCUGCCUCAGCCUCCGAAAGUGCUGGGAUUACAGGCGUGAGACACCACACCCGGCUCUUGUGCACGUAAUUCUAUUUUAUUUGAGAUGGAGUCUUGCUCUGUUGCCCAGGCUGGAGUGCAGUGGCAUGAUCUCGGCUCACUGCAACCUCCGCCUCUCAGGCUCAAGAGAUUCUUGUGCCUCAGCCUUCCAGGUAGCUGGGACUGUGCACCACCAUGCUGGGCUAAUGUUUGUAUUUUUAGUAGAGUUGGGGUUUCACUUAGCCAGGCUGGUCUCGAACUUCUGGCCUCAAAAGAUCUGCCCGCCUCGGCUUCUCAAAGUGCCUUGGAUUCCCAAAGUGCUGGGAUUACAGGUGUGAACCAUCAUGCCUGGCCUGUGCACAUCAUUUCAAUAACUGAUAUUUUGAAAACAUUGUUUAUUGACAUAAUUUAUGUACAAUAAAAUGUAUUAUUUACAAGUAUGUCUUUCAAUAAGUUUUGGCAAAUUUAUACAGUUAUGUAACCACCAUUUCUGGCAAACCAGAAAGCUGCCAUCUGUCCCUUUAUAGUCAUGUAAAUAGACUUUUCUAAAAUGUCAUGUAAAUAGAAUGAUAUAUCUUAAAAAUUUUUAUUUCUAUUUUUGUAAAUUAAAAAAAGUAUUUAGAAAAUUA
ensembl:lncRNA novel transcript